rnacentral:rRNA from 1 species
UACGUAGGGGGCAAGCGUUAUCCGGAUUUACUGGGUGUAAAGGGAGCGUAGACGGCGAUGCAAGCCAGAUGUGAAAGCCCGGGGCUCAACCCCGGGACUGUAUUUGGAACUGUAUAGCUAGAGUGUCGGAGAGGCAGGCGGAAUUCCUAGUGUAGCGGUGAAAUGCGUAGAUAUUAGGAGGAACACCAGUGGCGAAGGCGGCCUGCUGGACGAUGACUGACGUUGAGGCUCGAAAGCGUGGGGAGCAAACAGG